rnacentral:lncRNA from 1 species
GGGAAAAAUAAACUGGAACCGAUUAGAAAUAAUUUUUAUGAUCAACUUUUACAACACUGAACAUAAGCUGAUCGGCUUAAACUGUUAACGACACUCAAGAUGUCUAACCUUAAGAAUGAGAACAAUAAGGGUAUUGUUCAACCCUGAAUCAAUCGAACCACUAUUAAACACCCUUUUGACCCAUUCACAAAUAACGCUUUCUACUACAUCCUAUUGAAUUUGGAAAAAUAGAGCAUGAAAGUCAUCGCUACCUGGGGCCUUCAAAGGGGCCAUAUCAAAGAAAGCUAUAUUGAUUUCCUCAUCCGAAAUAUCCUUGCCUAGAAAGUCAAUAUCACUCGAAUCAAGGCUUGAAAAAGGAUUCGGCGGUAAAGAUCCCAAGAGACUUGGAAUUUCGCCAUAAAGGUUUUGAAAAAACAUUAUUCCUCAGACUGAAGAACAUUUGGAUCACAACACCAUUCACCUUCUGAAGUCGCAAGUAGAAAUGUGGAUAAAUUUCCUCCUCCAAAGUGUUUGACUAUGAAAAAACCUAAUGUUCUUAUCACCCAUUUUUAGCCAAUCACAUUUAGAUUUUUACUUCCACAAUAACUCUUCAUGAUACAUGACUGAUUCUAACUCAUCCCUUACCUCCUUCUCUUGCAUAAACAAGCGAACAGAACUAGACCUCUCCAUCGCUCUCUGAAUACCAGUCAAACAAUUAACAAGAUGCCUUUUCCUAUAAUCAAUAUGCCUAUAAAUAACUUUAUUCCACUUUUUGAUAUCUAUGGUAAAUCUAGAAAUAGUAUCUGACAUGCACCUAUUAGACCUCCACUCUGUUUUAACAAAGUCCGUGAAAUUCGGGUGUUCAGUCCCCUAGCCAAAAACCAGAAG